AAUGUUUUCACAGGUGCAGCUGUAUACUUUGCAGUAAAUACGGAAAGGAAUCCCACCUCUCCACUACCUUACUGCAAUUAAAAGGCAGGUUGCUGUUGAUUCUUCCACUUUUUAGGGCCAUGAAUCACGAAAGGCUUAUCAUCAUUGUGUGCUGAAUCACACUAUAAACAUGGACUUUGAAACAUCUUUUUCUGAAACUUAGAGGGACUCAGAGCAGCACAAGUAUUUUGUCUCAGUGGAAAUUAUGGAACUGCAGCCUUGGGAAAUGGACUUGUCUGAACAAACAAUGGAUUGGUCUUCAAAAGCAAUUACCAGGUAAAAGAUGUCACAAACAAAUGCUCCAAAAGGGCUCUUCACAACCCACAGGAUCCCUCCAGGAACACCCACAACGUGGUGAGCAGCUGGGCUACCACAGGCAGCAUGCAAACCGGCAGGAAGCAACAAUAGCUCUGAAGCCAAGGAGAAAAGAAAAGCUACAGAACCCAGAUCUGUUUUUUCUUCAAAAUUUCAUAGUCAUUGUAUUUUCAAUCUACAGAGAGUACAAAUUUGUGGUCUAAUGGUCCUGAAUGAGCACAUAUAGCAAGCUGGACACCUGUAGAGGAAUUGCCACUGUCUGGUGAGGUGCUGCUAUAGAUUUGUGGAACUAUUCAUUUUCUGCAGCAUCCAAGACCUAUUGAAAUUAGGAAGACAGGAUGUCCUAUAACCUCCAUGCAAUGUAAUAGCAAACAAACAAACAAACAAACAAAAAAUCUUCAGAAACAAAAGGUCAGAGAGUAUGGUUACCUGAACACAAAGACUACAACUUGUAACACUGUCAUUCUAAUUACAAAAAUUUCACAAGGUUUUCUGGUUUAUUUUAAAUGAUUACUAAGAGCACGUUAGGCUUAUAAAAAUGAACAGUGAAUUGCCUGGAAUUAGUAUAUAACGCAAAAUUCAGUGGGAUAUUAUAUUAGAACUUCCCUGAGCAAUAGUCAACAAAAUCAGUAACUUAAUGACAGAAAUCAGUGUGGGUACAGAAACAUGGAGCCUUACAAAUACUUGCUACUGAAUGCUUUUAGAGGCAAACCAAACUCCUUAUCAGCAAAGAACUCGGGAAUUUAAAAUCUUGCUGCUUAAAAAGCUGCAUCCUCUUUUCUAAUCUGUGAUUUAAAAUUCUUCUAUGCCUCGAGACUUUUACUGAACAGUUUCUGUAAGCCUUCAAAAAUUAUAUAUUUAUUUGUGUACAGAAAAUGAGACCAAUGAGAUAUGAAUUGUAAGAUGACCAGCAAAUCUGAAAGCAGAAGAGAAACCUCUUACAUACCACUGUUAAUUACAUGAAAACAUAUUUGCCUGUCCUAUUUUCUUUCUUGCAAAUUAGAAAAAUAGAAUAGGUU
rnacentral:lncRNA from 7 species